CCUACGGGUGGCAGCAGUCGAGAAUCUUUCACAAUGGGGGCAACCCUGAUGGAGCGACGCCGCGUGGAGGAUAAGGUCUUCGGAUUGUAAACUCCUGUCAUGCGAGAACAAGGUUGCAGGGCUAACACCUUUGCAAAUUGAUGGUACCGCAAGAGGAAGAGACGGCUAACUCUGUGCCAGCAGCCGCGGUAAUACAGAGGUCUCAAGCGUGGGCCGGAAGCACUGGGCGUUGGCGUGGCAAAGGUGGUGUGAAAGCCCGGGGCUCAACCUCGGAAUUGCAUCCGAUACUGCCAUGCUGGAGUACUGAAGAGGUGACUAGAAUGCUAGGUGUAGCAGUGAAAUGCGUAGAUAUCUAGAGGAAUACCAACGGCGAAGGCAGGUCACUGGGCAGUUACUGACACUGAGGCACGAAGGCCAGGGGAGCAAACGGGAUUAGAUACCCGUGUAGUC
rnacentral:rRNA from 1 species